rnacentral:rRNA from 1 species
GUAGGGGGCUAGCGUUGUCCGGAUUCAUUGGGCGUAAAGAGCGUGUAGGCGGUUCAAUAGGUCCGGUGUGAGAACUCGAGGCUCAACCUCGAGAGGUCGCCGGAAACCAUUGAGCUAGAGUCCGGAAGAGGAGAGUGGAAUUCCUGGUGUAGCGGUGAAAUGCGCAGAUAUCAGGAAGAACACCCAUGGCGAAGGCAGCUCUCUGGGACGGUACUGACGCUGAGACGCGAAAGCGUGGGGGAGCGAACAGGAUUAGAUACCCUGGUAGUCCACGCCGUAAACGAUGGGCACUAGGUGUGGGUGGUGUCGACUCCAUCCGUGCCGAAGCUAACGCAUUAAGUGCCCCCGCCUGGGAGUACGGCCGCAAGGCUA